GUAGACUGUUUACGUCACACCUCUUGAAGUGCGAUCAUUUGCUGGAUCAUGUUAACGUGAAUGCUUUGUGCAUCAGGUUGCUUUGCCGUAGUUCAUAUGUGAAAGUUGUUAUAAAGAAGUAAAAUAUAAGAUGAAAAAUAUGUUACAAAUGAAAUUCGUUUGUUAUGUUGAAAUGAUGUUAUAGAUGUAUUGUUUCCUGUAUUAGCUAGCAGUGUUAGUUUAUUUUGGCAUAUUGUGUUAGUUUAUAUGCUUUUAUGUUUUGUGUUUGCUAUACUCAUGUUAUCUGUCCUGAGCCGGUGGUCUAUCGAAAACAACGUCUCUACUUCACUUGAGGUAGUGAUAUGAUCUGCGCAUAUUUUAGCCUCCUCAGACCACACUAUAUAGGAAUACACUGGAUAUAUUAUUGUUGUAGAAAACGAUUGUUCUGGAGAUCAAAAAAAUAUAACGUGAAAAAUCGAUUCCAAAGAAUAUUUGAUUGCUAAAAUGAUCACAUGUUGUUAUAGAGGUAAACUAUAACAUGAAAAAUCAAUUAGAAAGAAAAUUUGGUUGCUAUAGUAAAAUAUUGUUACAGAAGAUGACAGUUAUAGAGCGUAAAAUAUAACAUGAAAAAUCGAGUCUAAAAGAAACGACUUAUAUGCUAUAAUGAAAUGUUAUACGUUAUAGAGGAUGAUUGUUAUAACUACUGAGGUAAAAUAUAUCAUGAAAAAUUAAUUUUUAAUAAAAUUCAACUGUUAAAUAUAGUAAGAUAAUUGUUAUUUAUAGAAGGAGGUCUGAUAGUAUAUAUUAUAUGAUUUUUUUUUUUUCAUGUUAUAAUGAUGAUUAUAUUGAAGGAGGAUAUGGGACUAUGGAAGAAUUGCUUGAAGUUAUAACAUGGUCACAACUUGGAAUUCAUGAAAAACCAAUUGGACUAUUAAAUAUAGAUGGAUAUUAUGAUUGCUUGCUUGGAUUAUUUGAUAAAGGUGUUGAAGAAGGAUUUAUUAAACCUUCAGCAAGAAAUAUUGUUGUAUCAGCUACAUCAGCCAAAGAGCUUUUG